ACGGUGAAGAGAUUUCGGUCAAUCAUGUGCAUCUUUAGUGGCGGACGGGUGAGUAACGCGUGGGUAACCUGCCUUACACAGGGGGAUAACACUUAGAAAUAGGUGCUAAUACCGCAUGAGCGCACAGGACCGCAUGGUCGAGUGUGAAAAACUGAGGUGGUGUAAGAUGGACCCGCGUCUGAUUAGCUGGUUGGUGAGGUAACGGCCCACCAAGGCGACGAUCAGUAGCCGGCCUGAGAGGGUGGACGGCCACAUUGGGACUGAGACACGGCCCAAACUCCUACGGGAGGCAGCAGUGGGGGAUAUUGGACAAUGGGGGGAACCCUGAUCCAGCGACGCCGCGUGAGUGAAGAAGUAUCUCGGUAUGUAAAGCUCUAUCAGCAGGGAAGAAGAAAUGACGGUACCUGAGUAAGAAGCCCCGGCUAACUACGUGCCAGCAGCCGCGGUAAUACGUAGGGGGCAAGCGUUAUCCGGAAUUACUGGGUGUAAAGGGAGCGUAGACGGUGAUGUAAGUCUGGAGUGAAAGGCGGGGGCCCAACCCCCGGACUGCUCUGGAAACUAUGUGACUGGAGUGCAGGAGAGGUGAGCGGAAUUCCUAGUGUAGCGGUGAAAUGCGUAGAUAUUAGGAGGAACACCAGUGGCGAAGGCGGCUCACUGGACUGUAACUGACGUUGAGGCUCGAAAGCGUGGGGAGCAAACAGGAUUAGAUACCCUGGUAGUCCACGCCGUAAACGAUGAUCACUAGGUGUGGGUGGGUAUGGACCCAUC
rnacentral:rRNA from 1 species